rnacentral:rRNA from 1 species
UGGGGAAUAUUGGACAAUGGGCGCAAGCCUGAUCCAGCCAUGCCGCGUGAGUGAUGAAGGCCCUAGGGUUGUAAAGCUCUUUCACCGGUUAAGAUAAUGACGGUAACCGGAGAAGAAGCCCCGGCUAACUUCGUGCCAGCAGCCGCGGUAAUACGAAGGGGGCUAGCGUUGUUCGGAUUUACUGGGCGUAAAGCGCACGUAGGCGGACUUUUAAGUCAGGGGUGGAAUCCCGGGGCUCAACCCCGGAACUGCCUUUGAUACUGGAAGUCUUGAGUAUGGGAGAGGUGAGUGGAAUUCCGAGUGUAGAGGUGAAAUUCGUAGAUAUUCGGAGGAACACCAGUGGGGAAAGCGGCUCACUGGACCAGUACUGACGCUGAGGUGCGAAAGCGUAGGGAGCAAACAGG